rnacentral:rRNA from 1 species
UACGUAGGAGACGAGCGUUGUCCGGAAUUACUGGGCGUAAAGCGCGUGUAGGCGGAUGAGCAAGUCUGCUGUGAAAGCUCCUGGCUUAACCGGGAGUGGUCGGUGGAAACUGCUCGUCUGGAGGACGGUAGAGGUAGGUAGAAUUCCCGGUGUAGUGGUGAAAUGCGUAGAGAUCGGGAGGAAUACCUGUGGCGAAGGCGGCCUACUGGGCCGGACCUGACGCUGAGACGCGAAGGCGUGG